rnacentral:lncRNA from 1 species
UCGACUAGGCUACAAUUAAUGAUGUUCACCUAAUUCCCCAGGCAAUUAGACGUCACGUAGUCAAACGCCGACGUCUAAGGCCUGUCUGGAAGGCGGGAAGACAAAUUCUUCAAUGUAGACGUUGGUUCUGAGGGGCACCGACGUCAAGGUUCCUGUAUUUUCACCAAAUUCGAGGGUUGUAGACGUCGGCUGUGAGGGGCACCGACAUCAACUACCCUGACAGGAAACCAAAACGUCAAUCUUUUCAGCUUCCUAGACGUCGAAUCCCCUGAAACACCGACGUCUAUAGACAUUGCUUUCUAGCGCAACCGGCGCCCAAUUUCAUUUUAAAUAAACCGCAGACCCUUCUAACCACUCAGUUUCUGAUCGCGUCUUCAUCUCUUCUCCUUUUUCUCUGCUUCUCCUCUUCUUUUACUCCCUUGCGCACCUCUUCUUUUUAUCUCUUCCGGCAUUGCAUUGUAUUUUCUCAUAACGUCAUUGUCUUCGUCCUCUCCUUUUUCUCUCUUCAUC